GGAAGAGUCAAUAUAGUCCCCGGAGGCUGUCUUCAUGCCCGCCAUGGCUGCCGCUGUUUCUGCUGAGACAAGGUGCACAGCAGCCAGCUACUAUGCUGACUCCACUGUUCCCGUCACAUCCAGGCUCCUGGGCUACUGGAGAGCAACUUAAAAGGACAAAGAGUACCAGAAAGGACAGCUCCAGAUAACCAACCCCUCAAAGCUGGUCAACAUGAAUAGGUGGGAUACUUCUCCCAGAGAGCAAGCAUACUGUGCCUUAAAACUUGUGUUCAAAAGCCUUACACACUUUGGACAAGCAGAAAAAUUGAAACAAAUCAUCUCCAGGUUCCAGACCAGCCAGGACUAUAUGAGACUCUUAACUCAAAAAAGAGGACUACUAGCCUGGCGGUGGUGGUGCACCCCUUUAAUGCAAGCACUUGGGAGGCAGAGACAGGCGGAUUUCUGAGUUCAAGGCCAGCCUGGUGUACAGAGUGAGUUCCAGGACAGCCAGGACUACACAGAAGCCAUCUUAAAAAAGAAAAAGCUGGGCGGUGGUGGCGCAUGCCUGCAAUCCCAGCACUCUGGGAGGCAGAGGCAGGUGGAUUUCUGAGUUCGAGGGCAAGCCUGAUCUACAGAGUUGAGUUCCAGGACAGCCAGGGCUACACAGAAAAACCCUAUCUCGAGAAAAUCCAAAUCCAAAAAAAAAAAAAAAGAAAAGAAAGGAAAGUUUGCUGGUACCAGAGCCAAUCCUUACCAACCAGGGCUGCUAUUGCCUUAUAAGCUAAUCAGGUUUUGAUGUCAGUCUUGCAGCCCUAACUACAGUGAUGUCAUGUAGUGACAAUUCUGAAAUUUUGGUUUUUGUUUUUUGUUGUUGUUUUUUUUUUUUUAAAGAUUUAUUUAUUUAUUAUAUGUAAGUACAAUGUAGCUGACUUCAGACACUCCAGAAGAGGGAGUCUGAUCUCAUUACAGAAGGUUGUGAGCCACCAUGUGGUUGCUGGGAUUUGAACUCAGGAACUUCAGAAGAGCAGUCAGUGCUCUUAACCGCUGAGCCAUCUCUCCAGCCCCCGAAAUUUUGGUUUUUUAAAAACCACAGAUAUAUUGUAAGAAUGUGCUUUCAUUUUAAUCCCAGGUAUAGGAUGUGGGGCUACUUUGGACUGUCUGAGGUAGCUAUGAUUUGCCUCAUGUUCUAACAAAGGCGUGGUUUUGUCAGCUGCAGAUAGGUUUCUGCAAUUGUGUGAUGUUUAGAAUUCUGGGAACCUUUUAGAAGGUAUAGGUAAUAUAAAUGCUAGGGCCCCAAUAGGUGGGGGUUGGUAGUUGUUCACGGUGGUUGGAUACAAUUUGUUAGCAGUCAUGUCCAGGGAUCUCUCUCUUCUCCCCUCUAUCCUUUCUACCCUAUCUAGUGAUGGGGAUGAUGAUGAUGAUAAAGGGUGGGAAAAAGAACCAAGUAGCAAAGACCAGCCACAAUGUUACUUUUGGCUACACCCAAAGGUGAUGGCACCAAACAUAAAACUUGAAGCCAAGCAGUGUGACACAUCUCUAAUUUCAGUAGAGAGGCAAGGCAUGAGGUCACGUUUGAAGCCAGCUUGGGCUUAUACUAGUGAGACCCUGCUGAACAACAAAAGCAGGAGCUGAAGACCUGGCUGAGUCAGGGAAGCGCAGGCAUGAGACCUGCAUUCACUCUCCAGGCCCAUCUAAGAAGCCAGACACAGCAGGACACACUUCUAAUCUCAAGGCUGGGGCUUACAGCAGCAAGUGAAAUCUCAGAAGCCCUGCCUACAGCAGCUGUGGGACAGUCACCAGGUUGCUGAAAACAUGUACUUAGAUACAGAAUCAGGUGUUGUAGCUGCUGGCUAGAAACUUGUCAUACAAGAGGCUGAGAGACAAAAAUUGUGAGUUUGAUACGUCAUAAAAUAUUAUGAAAAUAGAAAAUGGCUUGGCAGUUAAGAAUACUUAUUGCUAGGCCGAGCAGUGGUGGCGCACGCCUGUAAUCCCAGCACUCUGGGAGGCAGAGGCAGGUGGUUUUCUAAGUUCAAGGCCAGCCUGGUCUACAGAGUGAGUUCCAGGACAGCCAGGGCUACACAGAGAAACCCUGUCUCAAAAAAACCAAAAAAAAAAAAAAAAAAAAAAAAAGAAGAAUACUUAUUGCUGUGGCAAGGACCCGAGUUCACUUUCUGGCAACCACUUGCUAGCUAGAAGCCAUCCAUAACUUAUUCUAGGGGAGCCAAUGCCCUCUUCUGACCUGAGAACAUGAGGUUUCAUACCCGGCACACACAUGUAUAAUGCAGGCUAAAUACUCAUACACAUUAGAAAAACAAUACAGAACGAAAAGAGAAGAACACUAAGAAUGUAGAGAAAAAAGCCCCAGGAGAUGUAGGGAGGGCACAGGAACCACAUGGCUUACAUAAGCUCAACUCUUAAGGGCUCAGGGGUCAGGCAGACACAGGCCUCAAAUUUCUUACACACACUACUACUGUCAACUUAGAAUCUUAAUACAAACAUUAACUUGCUGAAGGCAGGACAAGAAAAAGAGGCCUGGCUCUCUGCAAAGGCUUACAGUAACUCUAGGUUUCACCUCAAGUAACCCCAGCACAAUUCCCAGGCCUCACCUUGAGUGCCAGUUGAAACUCCAGGAGCUUGGUGUAGCAGGCAGCACGGUUGCUGUACAGUUUGGCAUCUCUUGGGUUCCUUUUAAUGGCUUCUGUAUAGUGCUUCAUGGCCUGAGGGUAGUCCCCUAGACAGUUACAUAAGAAUGACUUCUAUUAGCUCAGCUGGCCUGAACUGCAGCCCUAUCUCAAUCUCGAGUAUUAGGACUGCCAUGUGCACCACCUUGUCUAGCCAGCUACGAAUGAUUUGCUUCUGCUAUUUUGGCUUUUGUGACAGGGUUUCUCUGUGUAGAUCAGGCUAGCCUCAAACUUAAGGGGUUCUGGAACCUCUAAUGACCUUCCUGUCUCAGUAUAUAUAUAUAUUAGAUUCAACCCCAAUUACCACACCCACAACCACACAAAGAGGAUUUUUUAUUGUUGUUGUUUUUGAGACAGGGUCUCACUAAAUACCAUCAACUGGCCUGAAUUCUUUUUUGUAGACAAACCUGGAAAACUCUUCCUCUAGAGUUCCUGCCUCAGCUAAGAGUGCUAACUGGGAUUAAAAAUGCAAGCACUUCCCUCCCAAAAUUGGCAGGGUGGUAGUAGUACCUGUCUUUAAUCCUAACAAUCAGGCAGAGGCAGAUAGAUCUGAGUUCCAGAACAGUCAAGGAUACACAGAGAAACCCUGUCUUGAAAAACCAACACCCUUCCUACAAGCCACAACAUUCAGCAAAAAAAAAAAAAAAAACUUUUAUGAUAACCAAAAACCACCUUUCUCUCUCCUGCAAAGUAUGCCUUGCAAGCAGGCACAGGAAGCCACACAUCAGAGCUGAGGCUUUCUCGACAGUGCGGUACCUUUCUGGAAGCAUUCAUUGCCCUUGUUUUUCUCCUCCAAAGCCAAGUCAGGGUUGAUAUAAGCCAGUCUCUCUUGUUCCUUCAGAAUUUUCUCUGCCUAAACAAACAAAAACAGUAACAAAAAUUAUUAGCAUAGUAAUCUAAACAUCUAAAUACUGACUAUACUGGAAGGCUAAAUUAGAAUUAAAACCAAAACAUUUUUAUACUUAUUUGUGUGUGUGUGUAGAGAUCAGAGACAACUUGAGGUGGUUCUCUUUAAGUUCCCUAGAUAACAAGUUCUCUAGAUUGAACUCAGGUUGUCAUGCUUAGUGGCAAGGACACUAACCUGCUCUGCCCUUUAGGUGACCCCUAAUUAGGAUUUUGAGUUUCAGAGUUCUAGGGCAAGAUUUUCAUCUCAUUCUUGGGCUGGAGAGAUAGCUCAGAGAUUAAGAGCACUGACUACUCUUCCAGAGUUCCUGAGUUCAACUCCCAGCAACCACAUGGUGGUUCAUAACCAUCCAUGAGAUCUGACACUCUUUUUGUGUCUGAAGAUAGCUACAGCGUACUCAAAUAAAUAAAUCUUUUUUUUUUGGAGACAGGGUUUCUCUGUGUAGCCCCGGCUGUCCUGGAACUCAGAAAUCCUCCUGCCUCUGCCUCCCAAGUGCUGGGAUUAAAGGCAUGCGCCACCACUGCCCAGCUAAUAAAUCUUAAAAAAAAAAAAAAAAACUUAGGAAAGCACACUGUUAAAGCAGAAUAUGACUUGCAUAUGUUUGAUUCAAAACCAUGCCCUUAGGUUGGAGCUAUAGUUUAGGUGGUAGACAUGGCUGUUUAACAUACAUGACGACUUACAUGCAAUCACAGUACUAACUGUUGUGGCAGCCUAUUCCUGUGAUCUCAGGAUGUGGGCAGAGGGAUAAGGAGUUUAAGGCCCUAGGAGGCUUUGUAGCUUUGUCUUGCCCUCUACACCUACACUGUGGCAUGUACAAUCCCAAACAAAUACAUGUAUAAAGUGUAAAAACUAACAAGAGAAGGGGGCUGGAGAGGUGGCUCUGCUGUUAAGAGCACUAACUGCUCUUCCAGAGGUCGUGAGUUCAAUUCUCGGCAACCACAUGGUGGCUCACAACCAUCUAUAACAGGAUAUGAAAACAAAUAACCAAACAACCAAGAGAAACAAGCAACCGUCUGUAGCAGGAUAUUUCUGGAGAGUCCGUGAGGGACUGGUUGGAGUCCUUCACUAUGGUACCCAGGCUAGUUCUGAACUAUACUCCAGAGUUCUUUACUCCAGAGAAGCUCAGGUACAGUCAUGUGCUACAAUGCUGAGCCUGACAAAUCCUUUUGUGAAAUUACUCCCUGUGGUGGUGGUUUGAGUAAGUCUCAGGUAUUUGAAUGAGUAGUGUAGGGGUGGGGAAUGGGCUAUGGAAUUGUUAAAGGAAGUGUGUAACUGUGUGUGGACUUUGGGAGGUUUCAAAUGCCCAUGCCAGGAUCAGUUUGCUAUUACUCCAGCGCCCAUGUGCCUGCCACCAUGUUCCCCAUGAUAAGGAACCAAACCUCUGAAACCAUUAGCAAGUCCGUCAGUGAAAUGUUUUCUCUUGCUAGGCAUGCAGCACACAGCACAUGCCUUUAAUUCCAGUGCUUGGGAGAGACAGGCGGAUCUCUGCAAGUUCAAGACCAGCCUGGCCUAUAAAUAGUUCCAGGUCAGCCAAGGUGGUUAUACAGACAAACCCUGUUUCAAAAACAAAACCAAACCAAAAAAAAAAAACAACAACAACAACAAAAAACAAAAAAAAUUUUCUUGUAAGAAAAGAUCUACCUUGGUCAGCAAACAAGAAAGAAAAAGAAAAAGUUGCCUUGGUCAUGCUGUCUCUUCAUAGCAACAGGAGUGAGUGCAAGACACUCCACUACAUUAUUUAUUACACAUGGUAUCAUACCACUCUGGCUACCAAAAUAAUGAGACUGGGCAUCGUGGUGCAAGUCUAUAAUUCCAGCAUUCAGACAGAUACCAAGCAAUAGGGCUAGAAUCAUUUAAAAAACACCCCAACACAUACAAAACUAAAAUAAGAAAAAGGCACCUGACAGCCCUGUUCUUUACAGACCUACCUGCUGGCACUUCUUGAGCACAUCUGGAGUACGGUGCUCUGCCAGAGACUUGUUGUAGAAAUGGAUAGCAUCCUUGUACCUUUCUUCUUUGAAAUAGGAAUUGCCAAUUCGGGCAUAAGCUCUGAUGAAGACAAGGGAAAAGGUAGAGUCAGAAACAGGUCAAUCCUCAAAGAAAAUACAAACUGACUCUACACAAAGCUGGCUCAGCAGCCUGGAAACCCAGCUCUCAACAAGGGUUUCAGGCCCUGGCAUGGUGGGUUCAGUGGCAUACUUGGCGAUCUGCCGGUAGUCCUCUCGGUUCUCUCUGCCCACUUCAAUGGCCUUCUCACAGAGCUCCCGGCAUUUGUUAUAAUCGCCCUUCUCAAAGUGCACAGCUGCCAUGCAGAAGGGUGAGAAACAGUCAGACAGUUCUUGCUUUUUCCCUCAAGAGUGCCGAACAGCUCUCUUGCCCCUGUUUCUACACCUCACCUGCUUGAUUAGUUAUGUAAGUCAUAUUGGUAGGAUCCAGUUCCUUGGCCCUGUCAUAAUGCUUCAGGGCCUUGUCGAAAUCUUUCUUCUUGUAGGCAUCAUUUCCCAACUCCUUUUCUUUCAGUGCCUAAAUGGGGUUGAAAAGGUGAGCGCUUAACAUCACUACCACAUGGCAGCAAGAGCAGCACAGUGCAUGCUCUGGUACAGGUAUCAAUGUGCCACCAACAAUACCAGGAAGUCAGUCCUCCCUCAAAAGGCCCCUUCUACACUAGCCAGAGUCAAGUGAGCCAGGGCUCAAGUGUACUUUACCUUCAUUUCCAGACCCUGACUCCUUUUUUCCCAUCUACUCUCUUGGAUCUUUACCAGGCAGCAGAGGGCUUCUGAGGGAGAGGAAAUCCUCUCAACUCAAAGCAACUAAAGAAGAUGAUAUAAUUUGAUGGCAGGUUUUUAAUGAGAAGUAGUCACAAGCUGCCUGUUGUGGCUAUCUUGAGAUCUUAGCUGUUAGGGAACAGCAGGCACAGUACAAGGAUCAGAAAGGGCCAAAAGAACAGGAGUUUUCUGAACCGCUCUCUCCACCCACACAGAGGGCCUUUUUCCAGCUGAGACACCCUGAGCAACCAACACUCACCCAUUUAAGAAUACUAAAUUUGGCAACAAUCUGCUGUUCCUGACUAUGAGAGGGGAAACAAUUCUUUAGGCACAUGUCUCUUGCUCUGGAAGAGAGCUGCCAAGUGGACACCCACCUGAAACCACAUCCAAUCAGGAGGCCAAAGCCUCAGGACUGAUGUAGACACCAUGCAGGAUGACAGCAGGGCCUACUACCCCUCACAAUUACAAAAAACAGGUUUUCCCUGUGCAACACAUACUGCUUCUACCUCACAAUCCUCCUGUAGCCACAAGAAUUCUUUCUGAUGUAUCUUAUAUAUCUAUUAUAAAAAUGUUUCCGGGGGCUUGAAAACUGAGCAGCAAUUAAGAACACUUGUUGCUCCAGCAGAGGUCCCAAGUUCAGUUCUCAGCUCCUACAUAGUGCUUCACAACUAUUCAUUGUUACAGUCCCCUUCCUGUAACCUCCAUGGGCACUGCAUUCAUGUGGUGCAGAUACACACAUGCAGGGAAAACAAACACUCAUACGCAUAAAACUUUUUGGGGGGUAUAGGGGUGGUAUUCAAGACAGGGUUUCUCUGUGUUGUCCAGGCUGUCCUCAACCUCAAGAGAGCUACCUGUCUCUGCCUACCAAAGGCAUGCACUACCAUUAUCUGGCAAAAAAAAAAAAAAAAAAGAAA